UAAUGGACCAGUGCGAUUGAUAUAGA
rnacentral:piRNA from 1 species